CGCCUUUUGAAUAUUAUAUAAGGUAAUGCCUGCCCAGUGACCAUGUGUUCAACGGCCGCGGUAUUCUGACCGCGCGAAGGUAGCGUAAUCACUUGUUUUCUAAAUAAAGACUAGUAUGAACGGCCACACGAGGACUUAACUGUCUCCCUUGUCCAAUCAGUGAAACUGAUCUCCUCGUGCAGAAGCGAGGAUAUUACCAUAAGACGAGAAGACCCUAUGGAGCUUUAAACUAAAAUCAACUAUUUUUAACUUCUCUCCAAGGAAUUAACAGAUAACCAAAUAUGCUUGAUACAAGUUUUAGGUUGGGGCGACCAUGGAGAAAAAGAAAUCCUCCCUGAUGACUCACAAACCAAGAGCCACGGCUCUAAGUAUUAAGAUACUUAACUUCCAUUGACCCAUUUAAUGAUCAACGAACCAAGUUACCCUAGGGAUAACAGCGCAAUCCAUUUCAAGAGUCCCUAUCGACAAAUGGGUUUACGACCUCGAUGUUGGAUCAGGGCAUCCAAGUGGUGCAACCGCUACUAAAGGUUCGUUUGUUCAACGAUUAAAGCCCU
rnacentral:rRNA from 1 species